GACCGCACGGGAUAAUCGAUUAUCCCGUGCGAUCCACUUAAUCCGACCGCACGGGAAAAUGAUUAUCCCGUGCGGUU
rnacentral:pre_miRNA from 11 species